rnacentral:siRNA from 1 species
UAAAAGUGCAUUUGGGUCAU